rnacentral:tRNA from 1 species
UCUGAGGUAGCUCAGUAGUUAGAGCACUCGGCUCUUAACCGAGAAGGCGCUGGUGCAAAUCCAGCUCUCAGACCCA